GUGCGUGUUCUGCACUCUCAGCAGAUAGGAAGGACUGAGUCCAAGCAGGUGUAUUAAUAGAAGCUGGGCUCUAGAGGCUAGGGUGGUUUAUCAUAUGCCUCUAAACCCUGGAAACAACAGGAAUCUCAUGCAGGGGAAGCAACAGGAGAGAUACGAUUGAGCCAGUCAAUAUCUGAAAACACAAAACAGUCGAUCCUGGACGUGAGGGACAGACUGGGGGACUUACACCAGAAGGGGGUCGGGCAGAGGCACAGAUCAAGAGAGCUUGGAUCAGCAAGUGGUUGGAAUCAGAGAAAUCGAUCUCAAACCACCACGACCCUGCAGGCCCCCAGGGGAUCCCCGCAGGAAAGAAAAGGCUCUCCACUGGAGACAGAGCUUUUCAAGAGCAAAGCAGAGGGCCAGUGGAACAGCUCAUUGGCCACAGAAAGGAAUCUUCAAGCUCCCCAUUUCUGGGACCAAAAGUGAGUGCUCAAGCAAAACCAAGGGAGACCAGACAGACGUACCCAAUACUUUGAAGGCCUCUCAGCAAAGAAAGUCCUUGCAGGAGGCGCCAGGAUUCCUAGUACCCAGGCACCGGACCUUCGCAUGCUGGGGAGUUUAAACUUAGCUAUCUAACUGAUGGCUCCAAAGACUGUGGAGGUCAGUAUCUGUUACCACCGCUCAUCAGAUGUAUAUAUGUUAUAUACUGGAUAUGCUGUCCUCCUGGAAGUGUGCUGUCCCACCUAAUUUUUGGUCCUCUAUAUACAUUGCUACAUUCAGGCCUAGUAACAAGUGCUUUAUGUUGUUUGCAAGCUGAGAUCCCCAGACCAUCAGCUUUCAAAUGAGAUUUGAUAUAACACUUCCUUCCACCUCUAGCUGGUCAGGAGGCAUUAACCUUGGAAGUCACAUCAUUCUGAUUACCCUCCUGCUCCUCCCCACACUACUUAACUCCCAUAUGCUUUGACAGCCUUACCACAACAGCUAUUCCUUUACAUUGUCUCUAAGAGGUGAAGCCGGCAGUACAUUAGUAUGCAGAAGUGGGAAGUAGUGCACUGACUGUUAGCUCCAGAAGACUUCAAAUAUUAGCUGGUAAAGUCACGUAGGCAGCUUCACCACUAGAAUUCCCUGGAGCUAGAUCCAACUGUGCAGUGGGUCUGAUGUGCCCAACUGACAGCCUCUCUGUCCUGACAAGCCUGUCUUCUAAAGACACAAGAAGAUAAAACACAGACCAGGAAGUUUCAUAGUUUCAGGCCAAAAGGGACCAUUAGAUCAUCCAGUCAGACCUGGAGAGCACAAGCUAUUCAUUUCACCCAGAUACCUCAGUACUGAGCCCAGUGAUUUCAGUUAGACCAAAGCACUUCAGUCCUCAGGAGACCAAGAGAAACCAAAGUGCAAACUGAUUAGGUGAGCUAGUCCCAGCUGAUCCUAGCAGGCGAUCCAGCAUGAAGAGGAGUCUCCCAUCAGAAGGCUCGCAAGGGGGCUACAGAGCCAACUAAAGCUCAAGCACGCAUGCAUAACAACCUUUCCAGGGCUCAAUGGGCCAUCUCCCCUCCUACAGGCCUGACAAGCCACCCCACAUGCCCAGCUCUCACCCCCUCCCUGUGGCUCACAGCAGCAACAAGACUCUACUGGUACAAGAAACAGGACAUUCAGAAGAGAUGCACUAGUUUACACACACAC